rnacentral:rRNA from 1 species
AAUUUUGGACAAUGGGCGAAAGCCUGAUGGAGCAACGCCGCGUGAGUGAAGAAGGAUUUCGGUUCGUAAAACACGGUUGUAGGGGAAGAACAAGUACAGUAGUAACUGGCUGUACCUUGACGGUACCUUAUUAGAAAGCCAUGGCUAACUACGUGCCAGCAGCCGCGGUAAUACGUAGGUGGCAAGCGUUGUCCGGAAUUAUUGGGCGUAAAGCGCGCGCAGGUGGUUUCUUAAGUCUGAUGUGAAAGCCCACGGCUCAACCGUGGAGGGUCAUUGGAAACUGGGAGACAUGAGUGCAGAAGAGGAUAGUGGAAUUCCAAGUGUAGCGGUGAAAUGCGUAGAGAUUUGGAGGAACACCAGUGGCGAAGGCGACUAUCUGGUCUGUAACUGACACUGAGGCGCGAAAGCGUGGGGAGCAAACA